AGUUUGAUCCUGGCUCAGAGCGAACGCUGGCGGCGUGCUUAACACAUGCAAGUCGAACGUGAGAUGGAGCAAUCCAGAGUAAAGUGGCGUACGGGUGAGUAACACGUGGGUAAUCUACCUUAGAGUCUGGAAUAACCUGCCGAAAGGCGGGCUAAUACUGGAUAGUUCAAGCUUGUUGUAGAGACAAGAUUGGGAAAGGGAGCCGGCAACGGCCUUUGUUCUAAGAUGAGCCCGCGUCUGAUUAGCUAGUUGGUAAGGUAAUGGCUUACCAAGGCGAUGAUCAGUAGCUGGUCUGAGAGGAUGAUCAGCCACACUGGAACUGAAACACGGUCCAGACUCCUACGGGAGGCAGCAGUGGGGAAUCUUGCGCAAUGGACGAAAGUCUGACGCAGCCACGCCGCGUGAGUGAAGAAGGCCUUCGGGUUGUAAAGCUCUGUCGGAAGGGACAAAAACCAUUAUGGUGAACAGCCAUAGUGCUUGAUGGUACCUUCAAAGGAAGCACCGGCUAACUUCGUGCCAGCAGCCGCGGUAAUACGAAGGGUGCAAGCGUUGCUCGGAAUUAUUGGGCGUAAAGGGUUUAAUUGUGAAAGCAACGCGCCAGACCCUUACCUAGGUUUUGACCAUCCUUUGGCAAUACAGAGAUGUAGCUUUCGUAGCAAUACGACAAAGAGACAGGUGCUGCAUGGCUGUCGUCAGCUUCGUGUGGUGGCAUGUCGGGUUAAGUCCCUCAACGAGCGCAACCCCUGUGUUUAGUUGCCAGCAUUAAGUUGGGCACUCUAGACAGACUGCCGUGGUUAACACGGAGGAAGGCGGGGAUGACGUCAAGUCCUCAUGGCCCUUACACCUAGGGCGACACACGUAAUACAAUGGUUGAUACAGAGGGAUGCAAAAUGGUGACAUCGAGCAAAUCUCAAAAAGUCAAUCUCAGUUCGGAUUGGAGUCUGCAACUCGACUCCAUGAAGGCGGAAUCGCUAGUAAUCGCGGAUCAGCACGCCGCGGUGAAUACGUUCCCGGGCUUUGUACACACCGCCCGUCACACCAUGGGAGCUGACUCAACCAGAAGACGAUCAGGAUAACCGUAAGGGGUCCUUCGGCGAAGGUGGGGUUGGUGACUGGGGUGAAGUCGUAACAAGGUAGCCG
rnacentral:rRNA from 1 species